rnacentral:piRNA from 1 species
UGGAAGUAGUUGGAGCCAGCCAAGUGGUGGC